GAUGAACGCUGGCGGCGUGCCUAAUACAUGCAAGUCGAGCGAACAGACGAGGAGCUUGCUCCUCUGACGUUAGCGGCGGACGGGUGAGUAACACGUGGAUAACCUACCUAUAAGACUGGGAUAACUUCGGGAAACCGGAGCUAAUACCGGAUAAUAUAUUGAACCGCAUGGUUCAAUAGUGAAAGACGGUUUUGCUGUCACUUAUAGAUGGAUCCGCGCCGCAUUAGCUAGUUGGUAAGGUAACGGCUUACCAAGGCAACGAUGCGUAGCCGACCUGAGAGGGUGAGCGGAGACAGUGGAACUGAGACAAGGUAGAGAAUCGUAAGGGAGGCAGAAGUAGGGAAUAGUGGAGAAUGGGCGAAAGCAUAAAAGAGCAAUGAAGAGGGAGUGAAGAAGGUCAUAGGAUCGAAAAACUGUGUAAGGUGGGAAGAACAAAAGUAGAAGAAUACCUGCCUGGCUGGACGGUACAUAAAGAGUAAGAACCGGCUAAUUUCGUG
rnacentral:rRNA from 1 species